UACGUAGGUGGCAAGCGUUGUUCGGAAUUACUGGGCGUAAAGGGCUCGUAGGCGGCCAACUAAGUCGGACGUGAAAUCCCCAGGCUCAACCUGGGAACUGCGUCCGAUACUGGAUGGCUUGAAUCCGGGAGAGGGAUGCAGAAUUCCAGGUGUAGCGGUGAAAUGCGUAGAUAUCUGGAGGAAUACCGGUGGCGAAGGCGGCAUCCUGGACCGGCAUUGACGCGGAGGAGCGAAAGCCAGGGGAGCAAACGGG
rnacentral:rRNA from 1 species